rnacentral:rRNA from 1 species
UACGUAGGGGGCAAGCGUUGUCCGGAAUUAUUGGGCGUAAAGAGCGUGUAGGCGCCAGAUAAGUCCGCUGUGAAAUCUCGAGGCUCAAUCUCGAGCUGGAUCGGUGGAAAUGCUAUCGUCGGGACUAGAAGUCCGGAAGAGGAGAAUGGAAUUCCUGGUGUAGACGGUGAAACUGCGCAGAUAUCAGGAAGAACACCCGUGGCGAAGGCGGUUCUCUGGGACGGUACUGACGCUGAGACGCGAAAGCGUGGGGAGCAAACAGG